GGCGCCUCGCGUUCAUCUCCGGCUUCUUCCCUCCCCAUUCCUGUUGCAGAUCGUGCCUCCUCUUGGACGUGUCUUCCUGCAUCCGGGAAAGCCUCUUGACACCUUUGUGUGGAACCGGGAGGCCGCUGCAAAACCCUGAGUGCAGAAUCUGAAUUGGGCACCUCAGGAGGUUGGACAGGGACCAAGUAGGUCCAGGUUCCAUAGAGACAUGCAUUGGAUGGAGACGCAGGCAGCAGCAGAAAAAUGCCUUUGAGGCCUUCUCCGCCAUCUCCUCCAGGUGCUGAAAGGAAAAGAGUCACCAUGCGGCCAGCUCAGGCUGGGGUGUCCUUUGAAGAGGUGGCCGUGUAUUUCACCCAGGGGGAGUGGACCCUGCUGCGCCCAGCCCAGAGAGCUCUCUACAAGGAGGUCAUGCUGGAGAACUUU